AGGCCCCGCCCCCGCCGUACCUCCGGCAUGGGCGAAUCGGCCGGCAGGCGAUGGGACCCCCGGGAUUCGAGCCGCGCGGGUUAGGAAUUGGCCUCUGUAGCUAACGGACGCCUGAGAUCCGGGACUGCAGCACUCGCGGGAAAGGACGCUCCGAAAGAUGGCGACCAAACCUGGGCGGGAGCGUGGGGGAGCCCCUUCCCACCCCGGCCCGGGCCGCGGACAUCCGUGCGGAGGAGCGACGUCUGCGCACGUUGUGGGGCGGUGGACGCGCACAGGCGAGGGUGGGUGGGUGGGUGCUGAGCGGUUGUGGGAUGAGGGGUCUCUCAGUAGCGGUUGAGAGCCCAUCCUCUGACCACUGCUUUUUCAUGUAAAAGUCAGAAUCGUUCAAUCAGUCAUUAACUGGUUUAAGGCUGGCUAAACCACCUGGUUUGAAAUGCGUGAAAAUUACACAUGUACUAGACUUCUGUGAUUCCUUUGGGUGUGUAUUUUACAUAUCUCAGAAAUCAGAAACAUGAGUGCCCUAUCUAGCAGCCAGCAGUCCACCAAAAUGCCUACAAAACUUUAUCGUAAGUUCAAAAGGAUAGCGUAAUGCCACUGAAGUAAGCUCUCGAACCUGUAAGUAAUGUAUGGUCUUCCCCAUUCUAGGUUGAUGGCGAGGAUUUCUAGUUACUCAGGCCAAAAACUUUAUAUCAUCCAUAACUCCUCUCAUACUCUCAUUUUCACUUUCAAUCUGUCAAGAAAGCUUGUUGGUUGUACCUUCAAAAUAGAACAGAGUGGGCAACAUAGCGAGACCCUGUCUCUACAAAAAAAAAAAAAAAAAAUUACCCUGGUGUGUUGGCGUGUACCUAUAGUUCCAGGUACUCUGGAGGCUGAGGCCAGGAGUUACGUUACAGUGAGCCAUCAUCAGGCCACUGCACUCCAGCUUGGGCUGGACAGAGUGACACGUGUUCCAAAAAAAAAAAAAAUUCUCCAUCUUUCCUACCUUACUAUUUUUCCUUUCAUCCCAUGACACUUCCCACCUUGUAACAAUCUUUAUAAUUCAGAGUCAGCCCUCCGCAUCCAUGGCUUCUGCGUUUCUGGAUUCAACCAACCACAGAUGGAAAAUAUUUGGGAAAAAAAACACAACAAUUUAAAAAUACAAAUAAAAACCAAUACAAUAUAACAGCUAUUUACAUAGCACUUACAUUGUAUUAUAAGUAAUCUAUAGAUAAUUUAUACAGGAGGAUAUAUGUGGGUUAUGUGCAAAUACUAUAUCAUUUUAUAUUAGAGACCUGAGAGGAUUUUGGUACUGGUCGUGGUCCUAGAGCCAAUCCCCCUCGGAUACUGAGGUAUGCCUGUAUUUAUCUGAUAUGUUUAGCUUUUAGUGUCUGCCUUCCCUAGUAGAAGCUGGGAUUUUUGUCUGUUUUGUUCAACUGAUGUAUCCCAAGUCCCUAGAAUAAAUGAAAAAUUUAAAAAUUCCCUGAGAUUAAAAAAAACUAAAGCAACAAAAAAUGACCAAUUUUUUUUAUUUUAAAUUUUCUCUUGGUUUCUGUUUCAGUUAACCAUAAGAUCUUUAUCUACAUCAUACCAUAAGCAUUUUGAUUUUCCAGUUACUGUGAGUACAGUGAUGACCAUUUACUUGACUUUUAAUGCAGUUUUUUGACCAAUGAUACGCUACAAUCCUAUUUCACUGAAUGAGAAUAACAUGAUAGAGUAGAGGAAGGUUACAUAAAGACUAUUAAUUCUAAAAAUUUCCUAGAACAAAAAAAAAAAACCAGAAAAUUCCCGAACUUGAUAUAUGUGCUUGUAAGCCUCCCUUUGAAUUACAAAUGUAGUAACCUUGUGUGAAUGCCUUAAGUAGUAAAUUUUCUAUCAUUUACCUAUAAAGGGUAGUAUUCAUUAUGUAAACAUUUAUUUUCAGAUUUUUCAUAUUUUGUAACAAAACAUUACGUGAUUGAAUACCAUGAUCUAAUUUCAGUUGCUAUAGCUAUUCAUGCACCCUUCUCAUCAGUUAAAAAAAAAAAAAAAGUCAAUUAAGGACACAAUGCCAUUCAGUUGAAUGACACUUUUUUUUUUUUUUUUUGAGACAGGGUCUCACUUUGUCACCCAGGCUGGAGUGCAGUGGCCUAAUCUGUGCUAUCUCGGCUCUCUGCAACCUCUGUCUUCCGGGCUCAAGUGAUCCUCCCACCUCAGCCUCCCAAGGAGCUAGGACUACAAACGCACACUACUACACCUAGCUAAUUUUUGUGUUUUUGGUAGACAGGGUCUCACUAUGUUGCCCAGGCUGGUCUGAAACUCCCAGGCUCACACAAUCCGCCCUCCUCGCCUCACAAAGUGCUGGGAUUACAGGUGUAAGCCACGGUGUCUGGUCUGGAUGAUACUUUUUGUAGAGUAUGUGUGCAUAAUUAUUUGCUCAAUGUUAUAUUCAUAGCAGUCUCUUUACACAUUUAAUUUAUCCUUUAUGAUUUAAAACAAUUUAAAGCUACAGAUUACAUGUUACAAUUUGAUUUUUUAUAAAAUUAAAUAGACUUUUGUUUAUAAAAAAAUUGACAAUGUGUUUCAUCAAUGUUAAUCUGUAGUUUGUAAUUACAAUAAUACCAAAUAAAAUUUUUCUAGAGUCAUUAUGAUGUAUCUGUGCACUGUCCUUAAAAUUGUUACCAAGUAAAAUCUUAUUCCAAAAGAAGGACAAGGGUAAAAAAUAGACACUCUUCAUAAUUUAUUCACAUAAUAUACAGUGAAAAUACCGAUAAAAGUAAAUGCAACUAUUAUAGUCCAGAAGAAACUGUUUUGCAUUCCUAUUAGUCCAUAACAAGUGGAAACAUUACACCAAAAACAACAGGAAGGAACAUGUUGUUCUAACCAACUGCUAAAUAGCCUUGAGCUCAUAUAACAGCCACAUUGGCCUGAUUCUGCAAUCUUUUACUUAAAUAAAUUUUCCUUAAAAUUUUUAAAGCAAAUGGAUUUUCCCUAAAAGUAUACUAUUAAUUUUUGUUUUUGUUUUGUUUUUGAGAUGGAGUCUUGCUCUUGUUUUCCAGGCUGGAGUGCAAUAGCACUAUCUUGGCUCACUGCAACCUCUGCCUCCCAGGUUCAAAUGAUUCUCCUGCCUCAGCUUCCCAAGUAGGUGGGAUUACAGGCACCUGCCACCACGCCCGGCUAAUUUUUCUAUUUUUAGUUGACACAGGGUUUUGCCAUGUUGGCCAGGCUGGUCUCGAACUCCUGACCUCAGGGGAUCCGCCUGCCUCGGCCUCCCAAAGUACUGAGAUUACAGGUGUGAGCCACUGCACUCGGCCUAUUAAUUUUUUUUUUUUUUUUUUUUUGAGAGAGCGUCUCGCUCUGUCACACAGGCUGGAGUGCAGUGGUGCAAUCUUGGCUCACUGCAAUCUUCCUCUCCUGAGUUCAAGUGAUUCUCUCCUCCUUCAGCCUCCUGAGUAGCUGGGAUUACAGGCGCCCACCACCACGCCUGGCUAAUUUUUGUAUUUUUAGUAGAGACAGGGUUUCACCAUGUCGGCCAGGCUGGUCUUGAACUCCUGACCUCAGGUGAUCCGCCCGCCCCAGCCUCCCAAAGCGCUGGGAUUACAGGCGGGAGCCACCGUGCCCAGCCACUAUUAAUGUUUUUUAAAUCCUCUUUUCCAAAAUUUUAUAGCAGUUCUUUCUAACAUUUAGGAGACAUGGUGUACGGAGUCAGAGUCUGGAGUUCAAAUCCAAAUUCUGCUGCAUAAUUAGUUAGGUGACUCUAAACAAAGUUUUUUCUAAACCUAUCUUUUCUUCUAGUUUAAUAAGACCAAUAAUAUUACCUACCUGUGAGGUCUGUUGUGAGAAAUAUAUAAGAGAACUCAAGUAAAAUCGUUAGCCUUAGCCUUGGAACAGGCUGUGCUGGUAAAAGCUAGUUAUUAUCAUUACACAAGCAUAUAAUUAAGCUCAUUGUUCUACAUUUGUAAUACUGAGAAAAUGGCUCAUAAAAGGCCCCAAAUGGGAUGGUAUGAGUUCUACAUCAAUAUAGUAUAAUGUUUAAAUAAAUGAACAUUUUUAAAGGGGCACUAACAUUUCUUCUGCCACCACAACGUGCCAGACACAAUUCCAGGCAACAAAGGAAGCUAAGAGAAAUAAGGCUCAAACUUAACACAGCUUUACAGUUGAAUGACAAGAGACACAUUUAAUAGAUAACUACAUUCAAAGUAGUAUGACCAUAUUUCCUGAUUUAUCAGGAAUCUCUUGUCCUGGCUUAAGAGUUAUUUGUGUCUUCUUUCAUUCUCAGUUGUGUCUAGGUCUGCUGAUAAAUUAGAUGAUCAUUCCUAACUAGAUGUAUGUACUAACUGCUUGGGAUACAAGAGAAGAAACCACCAGUUCUGUGUAAAGCUAUAGAGACUUAAAUUGCUUCUUUAUAGGAACAUCUGAAUGAGUCAAGUGAAUCAAAAGAAAGAGGAAAGGCAGAGGGAAGAUUUAAUUGUUAUUUUUCUGAGUCAGAACUACAAAGCUUUCUAUACUUGUGCUGUGAACAUUAACUAAUAGCAAACUUAGUAAAUCCACUUGACCAAUGUUAUAUAAAUUACUUUUGGAAUUUAGUAUUUUUUUCCUAAAGAUAUAACAGGCAUACUCCAAGAAACAAAUUAUUCAACAUGUAUUUGUUUAUGUAUACAACAUACAGUAUAUCUAUUGAGUGUAUAUUAUGUAUACAUGGUCUGUUUUUAGUGUGAUAGAAGAUACCAAAAAAAUUAUAAGGUACAGGCAAGCAUCAUAAAAUCUAAUGGCAAACCCC
rnacentral:lncRNA from 1 species